GAGGAAUAUUGCGCAAUGGAGGAAACUCUGACGCAGCAACGCCGCGUGGGUGAAGAAGGCUUUCGGGUUGUAAAGCCCUGUCAGGCGGGAAGAAACCUUUACGGAUGAAUAGUCCGUGAAACUGACGGUACCGCCAAAGGAAGCACCGGCUAACUCCGUGCCAGCAGCCGCGGUAAGACGGAGGGUGCAAGCGUUGUUCGGAAUCACUGGGCGUAAAGCGCGUGUAGGCGGUUCGAUAAGUCGAAUGUGAAAGCCCGAGGCUCAACCUCGGAAGUGCAUUCGAAACUGUCGGGCUUGAGUACGGGAGAGGGAAGUGGAAUUCCUGGUGUAGAGGUGAAAUUCGUAGAUAUCAGGAGGAACACCGGUGGCGAAGGCGGCUUCCUGGACCGAUACUGACGCUGAGACGCGAAAGCGUGGGGAGCAAAC
rnacentral:rRNA from 1 species